UACGAAGGGGGCUAGCGUUGCUCGGAAUUACUGGGCGUAAAGGGCGCGUAGGCGGCGCUGCAAGUCAGGCGUGAAAUUCCUGGGCUUAACCUGGGGGCUGCGCUUGAGACUGUGGUGCUAGAGGACGGAAGAGGGUCGUGGAAUUCCCAGUGUAGAGGUGAAAUUCGUAGAUAUUGGGAAGAACACCGGUGGCGAAGGCGGUUCUCUGGGACGGUACUGACGCUGAGACGCGAAAGCGUGGGGAGCGAACAGG
rnacentral:rRNA from 1 species